rnacentral:rRNA from 1 species
GACGAACGCUGGCGGCGUGCCUAAUACAUGCAAGUAGAACGCUGACGGAGGAGCUUGCUUCUCUUGAUGAGUUGCGGACGGGUGAGUAACGCGUAGGUAACCUGCCUUGUAGCGGGGGAUAACUUUUGGAAACGAUAGCUACUACCGCAUAACAGUAGAUGUUGCAUGACAUUUGCUUAAAAGUUGCAAUUUCCUCACUACCAGAUGGCCCUGCGUUGUAUUAGCUAGUUGGUGAGGUAAGGGCUCACCAAGGCAACGAUACAUAUCCGACCUGAGAGGGUGAUCGGCCACAAUGGGACUGGGACACCGCCCAGGCUCCUACCGGGGGCAGCAGUAGGGAAUCUUCGGACAUGGACGGAAGUCUGACCGAGCAACGCCGCGUGAGUGAAGAAGGUUUUCGGAUCGUAAAGCUCUGUUGUAAGAGAAGAACGAGUGUGAGAGUGGAAAGUUCACACUGUGACGGUAUCUUACCAGAAAGGGACGGCUAACUACGUG